rnacentral:rRNA from 1 species
GGAAUAUUGCACAAUGGGGGAAACCCUGAUGCAGCGACGCCGCGUGAAGGAUGAAGUAUUUCGGUAUGUAAACUUCUAUCAGCAGGGAAGAAAAUGACGGUACCUGACUAAGAAGCCCCGGCUAACUACGUGCCAGCAGCCGCGGUAAUACGUAGGGGGCAAGCGUUAUCCGGAUUUACUGGGUGUAAAGGGAGCGUAGACGGUAUGGCAAGUCUGAUGUGAAAACCCGGGGCUCAACCCCGGGACUGCAUUGGAAACUGUCGGACUAGAGUGUCGGAGAGGCAAGUGGAAUUCCUAGUGUAGCGGUGAAAUGCGUAGAUAUUAGGAGGAACACCAGUGGCGAAGGCGGCUUGCUGGACGAUGACUGACGUUGAGGCUCGAAAGCGUGGGGAGCAAACA